CCUACGGGAGGCAGCAGUAGGGAAUAUUGCUCAAUGGGGGAAACCCUGAAGCAGCAACGCCGCGUGGAGGAUGAAGGUUUUCGGAUUGUAAACUCCUUUUGUUAGAGAAGAUAAUGACGGUAUCUAACGAAUAAGCACCGGCUAACUCCGUGCCAGCAGCCGCGGUAAUACGGAGGGUGCAAGCGUUACUCGGAAUCACUGGGCGUAAAGAGCGCGUAGGCGGGAUAGCAAGUCAGAUGUGAAAUCCUAGGGCUUAACCAUAGAACUGCAUUUGAAACUGUUAUUCUAGAGUAUGGGAGAGGUAGGUGGAAUUCUUGGUGUAGGGGUAAAAUCCGUAGAGAUCAAGAGGAAUACUCACUGCGAAGGCGACCUGCUAGAACAUAACUGACGCUGAUGCGCGAAAGCGUGGGGAGCAAACAGGAUUAGAUACCCUUGUAGUC
rnacentral:rRNA from 1 species